rnacentral:misc_RNA from 1 species
CCUAGUGGACCCUACGGCCAAGUCCUCCGUCGGGAUUGACGAAGACGACGAUGAAGUGGCGGGCGGAUACUGGUCGGUAAGAGCGGACGCAGCCACAGAGGAGGAGGAAGCUGGCGAUGGUGAGGACGGGACCGCUUCAGAUGAAGUGUGCUUCAUUGCUUUGUUGGGGUUUGUGUCCCUCUGCCUCUGGUUCAAUCAAAGACGGAAGAAGAAACAGAGAGGCUGAUAUGUGGCUAGGGAGGGUAGAGGACUAGAGGAAAGGCUUUGGACAA